UACGUAGGGGGCAAGCGUUGUCCGGAUUCAUUGGGCGUAAAGGGUGCGUAGGUGGCGCUGUAAGUCGGGUGUGAAAUUUCGGAGCUUAACUCCGAAACUGCAUUCGAUACUGCGGUGCUUGAGGACUGGAGAGGAGACUGGAAUUACGGUGUAGCAGUGAAAUGCGUAGAGAUCAUGAGGAAGACCAGUGGCGAAGGCGGGUCUCUGGACAGUUCCUGACACUGAGGCACGAAGGCCAGGGGAGCAAACGGG
rnacentral:rRNA from 1 species